rnacentral:rRNA from 1 species
UUAUACAUGCAAGUCGAGCGGACAGAAGGGAGCUUGCUCCCGGAUGUUAGCGGCGGACGGGUGAGUAACACGUGGGUAACCUGCCUGUAAGACUGGGAUAACUCCGGGAAACCGGAGCUAAUACCGGAUAGUUCCUUGAACCGCAUGGUUCAAGGAUGAAAGACGGUUUCGGCUGUCACUUGCAGAUGGACCCGCGGCGCAUUAGCUAGUUGGUGGGGUAAUGGCUCACCAAGGCGACGAUGCGUAGCCGACCUGAGAGGGUGAUCGGCCACACUGGGACUGAGACACGGCCCAGACUCCUACGGGAGGCAGCAGUAGGGAAUCUUCCGCAAUGGACGAAAGUCUGACGGAGCAACGCCGCGUGAGUGAUGAAGGUUUUCGGAUCGUAAAGCUCUGUUGUUAGGGAAGAACAAGUGCGAGAGUAACUGCUCGCACCUUGACGGUACCUAACCAGAAAGCCACGGCUAACUACGUGCCAGCAGCCGCGGUAAUACGUAGGUGGCAAGCGUUGUCCGGAAUUAUUGGGCGUAAAGGGCUCGCAGGCGGUUUCUUAAGUCUGAUGUGAAAGCCCCCGGCUCAACCGGGGAGGGUCAUUGGAAACUGGGAAACUUGAGUGCAGAAGAGGAGAGUGGAAUUCCACGUGUAGCGGUGAAAUGCGUAGAGAUGUGGAGGAACACCAGUGGCGAAGGCGACUCUCUGGUCUGUAACUGACGCUGAGGAGCGAAAGCGUGGGGAGCGAACAGGAUUAGAUACCCUGGUAGUCCACGCCGUAAACGAUGAGUGCUAAUUGUUAGGGGGUUUCCGCCCCUUAUUGCUGCAGCUAACGCAUUAAGCACUCCGCCUGGGGAGUACGGUCGCAAGACUGAAACUCAAAGGAAUUGACGGGGGCCCGCACAAGCGGUGGAACAUGUGGUUUAAUUCGAAGCA